rnacentral:rRNA from 1 species
UACGUAGGGGGCGAGCGUUAUCCGGAUUUACUGGGCGUAAAGGGGGCGUAGGCGGCCGUGAAAGUCCGCUGUGAAAACUCACGGCUCAACCGUGGGACUGCGCUGGAAACUACACGGCUUGAGGACGGUAGAGGGAGACGGAACUGCUGGUGUAGGGGUGAAAUGCGUAGAUAUCAGCAGGAACGCCGGUGGAGAAGUCGGUCCCCUGGGCCGUGCCUGACGCUGAGGCGCGAAAGCGAGGGGAGCAAACAGG